AUUGAACGCUGGCGGCAGGCCUAACACAUGCAAGUCGAGCGAGCGGCGGGCGGGUGUGUAAUGUAUGGGGACUGCCCGAAAGAGGGGGAUAACUACUGGAAACGGUAGCUAAUACCGCAUACUAUCGGAUAACCCAUAUGGGAGUGGCUAGUAGGUGGGGUAAUGGCUCACCUAGGUGACGAUCUCUAGCUGGUCUGAGAGGAUGAUCAGCCACACUGGGAAGGAGACACGGCCCAGACUCCUACGGAGGCAGCAGUGGGGAAUAUUGCACAAUGGGCGCAAGCCUGAUGCAGCCAUGCCGCGUGUAUGAAGAAGGCCCUAGGGUUGUAAAGUACGUUCAGUCGGGAGGCGUUACCGACAGAAGAAGCACCGGCUAACUCCGUGCCAGCAGCCGCGGUAAUUC
rnacentral:rRNA from 1 species